UGUGUGUUCCUGAUUUGCUGGGCAACUAGUUACCUGAUGAGUGCACAUGGAAGAAAUUAUUUCAUUUCUCCAUCAUGGCUGGGAAGUCACCAGGAUACUUUUGUGAAGGACAUCUAGUCAGCUCUGCUCACCUUAUGAAGCACUGUCCAAGUGCAGGCCAGACACUGGUGUUCCCAGAGAAGAAUGUGCCUGAAACAGAAGAGCUGGUCACUUGGGAAGAACUGCCUUUUGUAGUAGCUGACAGGUUUGUACUGCAGCUGGGACCAAAGAGUAGAGAAGAUCU